rnacentral:rRNA from 1 species
UCCUUAGAUGUUCUGGGCGGCCCGCGCACUACACUGGCACUCUCAAUCAGAGCCUGGAUCUAACACUUUGGGGUAUUCUAUGAAGUGGUGUCGUGACUGGGAUUAACCCUUGCAAUUAUUGGUUACGAACGAGGAAUUCCUUGUAAUCGCGGUUUAUCAGCCCGCGUUGAAUGCGUCCCUGCCCUUUGUACACACCGCCCGUCGCUCCUACCGAUGGAUCGUCCGGUGAAGCUCAUGGAGGGGCGGUUGUCUCAGCUGCCGUCGAAGUGAAAUGGACCUCACGAUCUAGAGGAAGGAGAAGUCGUAACA